rnacentral:lncRNA from 1 species
AGAAUUUGAUUUUUUAGCCUUUUUUUAUUUCUCGCUGUGGGGCGCAGAGCGGACCGGGCCAGGCCGGCCGCGUGCCGGCAUCCUUGUGCGUGCGCGCGUCAAGAAAAGACUACAAGGCGGGGGAGAAAGAGCAGCAGCGGCAGAGCAGCGGCGACGGCAGCAACAGUGACCUAGUGGUGGUAGGCCUUGCGCUUGGCAUCGCUCCAGAAGGUGUCGGACCAGUCCUUGUGCUUCUUGUUCUUCUUGUCGGCAUACUUGUGCUUCUUCUUGUAGUCCUGGUCGUCGUCCUCGUCAUCGUCAUCCUCGUCGUCAUCAUAGUCCUUCUUCUUCUUGUAGUCCUCGUCAUCAUCAUCCUCGUCAUCGUCCUCCUCCUGGUACUUGUGGUGCUUCUUCUUCUUGUCGUCCUUCUUCUUCUUGUGGUCCUCGUCGCUGUCGUCCUUGUCGAGGGCCUUGUGGACGGCCUUGUAGACCAACUUCUCAAUCAGGCACUCGUCGACGACGGCGUCCUCGCCCUUGGGGCCGCGAGGUCCGCGCGGGCCACACUCGCCCUGGUCGCCCUUGGGACCCUUGGCACCGCGCGCGCCGGGGCAGCCGUCCUCGCCCUUGGGGCCACGAGGACCCUUGUCGCCCUUGUCGCCCUUCUCGCCCUUGGGGCCACGAGCGCCGUCCUUGCCGUCCUUGCCCUUGGGUCCACACGGGCCGCACUUGCCGCAGUCGCCCUUGGGGCCGCACUUGCCACAGUCGCCCUUCUCGCCCUUGUCUCCCUUUUCGCCCUUGGGUCCGCGGGGACCGUGGCAGCCGGGCUCGCCCUUGGGGCCACGAGGGCCAACCGGGCCACAAGGUCCGCACUUGCCGCACGGACCGGGAGCGCCCUUCUCGCCCUUGGGACCGCGCGGACCGUGGCAACCGUCCUCGCCCUUGGGGCCGCGAGGACCCUUGUCGCCCUUCUCGCCCUUGGGGCCGCGCUCGCCGUCGCAGCCAUCCUUGCCGUCCUUGCCCUUGGGUCCACGCGGGCCGCGAGGUCCGCAAGGGCCGCACUUGCCACAGUCGCCCUUGGGUCCGCACGGGCCACACUUGCCGCAGUCGCCCUUGGGUCCCUUGGGGCCGCGCGGACCGACCGGUCCGCGCACGGCGCACACCUUGACGCACUUCUUGUCGGGACACUUGUCAUAGUCGUCCUCGUCGUCAGUGUCAUCGUGAUGCUUCUUGUGCGCCUUCUUGGCGUCAUAGUGCUUGACGUCCUUCUUCUUCUUGUUGUAGUCCUGCUCCUCGUCGUCGUCCUCGUCGUCGUGCUUGUAGGCGACGCUACGGUCCUCCGAGUACCAGUCGUCGUCCUGCUUGUAGGCAGCGGCGGCGUGCUUCUUGUUGUAGUGGGCCAUGGUGAGAGGAGGCGGUGGUGGUGGGGGGUGCGGUUGUCGUCGGUGGGGGGUGAGCGCGCCGAGGGUGGAUGUGUGCGUG